rnacentral:snRNA from 1 species
UUGCUUCAGUAGCACAUAGACUGAAAUGGAAGGGUACAGAAAAGAUUAGCAUGGCCCUAGACCAGAAUGACAGGCAAAUUCGUGAAGGUUCUAUUUUUUUU